GAAAAGUCAAAAAUAGUGAGAUAUCUUGCAGAGGGAUGCAGCACUCUUAAAAUUGCAAAGCUUCUGAAGCGUGAUCAUCGAACAAUCAAGCGUUUCAUUCAAAAUAGUCAACAGGGUCGCAAGAAGCGUGUGGAAAAACCAAGGCGCAAAAUAACUGCCCAUGAACUGAGAAAAGUCAAGCGUGCAGCUGCCACGAUGCCACUUGUUUGGCCAUAUUUCAGAGCUGCAACAUCACUGGAGUGCCCAAAAGCACAAGGUGUGCAAUACUCAGAGACAUGGCCAAGGUAAGAAAGGCUGAAAGACGACCACCACUGAACAAGACACACAAGCUGAAACGUCAAGACUGGGCCAAGAAAUAUCUCAAGACUGAUUUUUC